UAGGGAAUCUUCCACAAUGGACGCAAGUCUGAUGGAGCAACGCCGCGUGAGUGAAGAAGGGUUUCGGCUCGUAAAGCUCUGUUGGUAGUGAAGAAAGAUAGAGGUAGUAACUGGCCUUUAUUUGACGGUAAUUACUUAGAAAGUCACGGCUAACUACGUGCCAGCAGCCGCGGUAAUACGUAAGGUGGCAAGCGUUGUCGAUUUNUUGGGGGGCGUAAAGCGAGUGCAGGCGGUUCAAUAAGUCUGAUGUGAAAGCCUUCGGCUCAACCGGAGAAUUGCAUCAGAAACUGUUGAACUUGAGUGCAGAAGAGGAGAGUGGAACUCCAUGUGUAGCGGUGGAAUGCGUAGAUAUAUGGAAGAACACCAGUGGCGAAGGCGGCUCUCUGGUCUGCAACUGACGCUGAGGCUCGAAAGCAUGGGUAGCGAACAGGAUUAGAUACCCUGGUAGUCCAUGCCGUAAACGAUGAGUGCUAAGUGUUGGGAGGUUUCCGCCUCUCAGUGCUGCAGCUAACGCAUUAAGCACUCCGCCUGGGGAGUACGACCGCAAGGUU
rnacentral:rRNA from 1 species